CUACGGGAUGCUCCAGUGAGGAAUAUUGCACAAUGGGGGGAACCCCGAUGCAGCAACGCCGCGUGGAGGAUGACGCAUUUCGGUGUGUAAACUCCUUUUAUAUGUCAAGAAAAUGACGGUAGCAUAUGAAUAAGCACCGGCUAACUCCGUGCCAGCAGCCGCGGUAAUACGGAGGGUGCAAGCGUUACUCGGAAUCACUGGGCGUAAAGGACGCGUAGGCGGGUUGGAAAGUCAGGUGUGAAAUCCUACAGCUUAACUGUAGAACUGCACUUGAAACUUCUAAUCCAGAGUAUGGGAGGGGGAGAUGGAAUUAGUGGUGUAGGGGUAAAAUCCGUAGAUAUCACUAGGAAUACCUAAAGCGAAGGCGAUCUCCUGGAACAUUACUGACGCUAAGGCGUGAAAGCGUGGGGAGCAAACAGGAUUAGAUACCCGUGUAGUC
rnacentral:rRNA from 1 species